rnacentral:lncRNA from 1 species
CCUCAUAUAUCCAAAUUCUUGUUUAAUUCAUAUGCUUGCAUAUGCUUGAAUUAUCAAUUGGUGGGUUCCUUACCUGUAUCUAAUGCUUUUAUCGUUUAACUCAUUCGGUAAAUGUUGUUUGUCUUUAUUGAUACGGGAACGUACGGUAAUGUCAUGAACUGGGGGGAAUUCCUUGAUUAUGCAAAUACCGCCUAGGGAUAGGGGUAGGACGAUCAAUUGUAUCUUGCUUCUGUUUAUUUUGCAUUAUUAGUUACUAGGGGAGGGUAGGGAUAGCAAGCCGGUAAUUAGUAAUAGGCUCUNUUCGCCAAGGGAUUGAGUUAAGGGUAGACCAAGAAAGUUUGCAUGGCAAUAUGAUAAAUAAGCGAAUUAAAUAAGAAGAGUAGAUAUAUGACGGUGGAUAAGAUGAAAUUAUAAACCCCAACAACACCAUUCAUUCAUAGUUUUUCCUCAACCAUUGAUUCACUACAUUUGCAUGUUUACUUUUGCUUCUUUUUUUUUUGCAUUCAAAAACUUAAAAUCAAUUUCUUCUUAAGUCUUACGAAAUUAGGUUACACAAAAGUUAAAGCCUAAGAGUCCUUUGGGAAACGAUACUUGGACUUACCCAUUUUAUAUUACGUGAUAACGAUCUAGUACACUAGUAAGGGAC